UACGAAGGGGGCUAGCGUUGCUCGGAAUGACUGGGCGUAAAGGGCGCGUAGGCGGCCGGCUUUGUCGGGCGUGAAAUUCCAGGGCUUAACCUUGGGGCUGCGUUCGAGACGGGUUGUCUAGAGUUUGGAAGAGGGUCGUGGAAUUCCCAGUGUAGAGGUGAAAUUCGUAGAUAUCAGGAGGAACACCUGUGGCGAAAGCGGCUCACUGGACCAUAACUGACGCUGAUGCACGAAAGCUAGGGGAGCAAACAGG
rnacentral:rRNA from 1 species